CCUACGGGCGACAGCAGUGAGGAAUAUUGGUCAAUGGGCGCGAGCCUUAACCAGCCAAGUCGCGUGAAGGAUGACUGCCCUACGGGUUGUAAACUUCUUUUAUAAAGGAAUAAAGUGGGGCACGUGUGCCUUUUUGUAUGUACUUUAUGAAUAAGGAUCGGCGAACUCCGUUCCAGCAGCCGCGUUAAUACGGAGGAUCCGAGCGUUAUCCGGAGUUAUUGGGUUUAAAGGGAGCGUAGAUGGGUUGUUAAGUCAGUUGUGAAAGUUUGCGGGUCAACCGUAAAAUUGCGAGUGAUACUGGCAGCCUUGAGUACAGUUGAGGUAGGCGGAAUUCGUGGUGUAGCGGUGAAAUGCUUAGAUAUCACGAAGAACUCCGAUUGCGAAGGCAGCUUACUAAACUGCCACUGACAUUGAGGCUCGAAAGUGUGGGUAUCAAACAGGAUUAGAUACCCGUGUAGUC
rnacentral:rRNA from 1 species